GGCCAGUGUGAUGUAGUGGUUUGAGUGUCGGACUACGACCCUGGAGACCAGGGUUCAAUCCCUGUUCGGCCA